UACGAAGGGGGCCAGCGUUGUUCGGAAUUACUGGGCGUAAAGCGCACGCAGGCGGAUUUGUAAGUCAGGGGUGAAAUCCCGGGGCUUAACCUCGGAAUUGCCUUUGAUACUGUCUAUCUUGAGUCCGGGAGAGGUGAGUGGAAUUCCUAGUGUAGAGGUGAAAUUCGUAGAUAUUAGGAAGAACACCAGUGGCGAAGGCGGCUCACUGGCCCGGUACUGACGCUCAUGUGCGAAAGCGUGGGGAGCAAACAGG
rnacentral:rRNA from 1 species